AUAUCGCACCGUAUAAUAUGGUAAUUUUUUCACCAAAAAAUGCUGGGAUUUCAGACCUUUUGGAAGACGUUUUUAAAGCUAUGUGUUUCUCAUUUUCCACACGAUGGAGUCAUUUAUUUAUAAACUCGCAACCUGCCACUUUGUCAUACUAAUUUACACAUAAUUUAAACGAGUCGUUUGGAGAAAAUAAUGAAGUAUCGCUUACUCUCCUGAGAUAUAGGUGUGUCACCGGUAAAGUACCGUCGAACAUUAUCGUUUUACGAGCCUAAUGGAACGUUUCGAUACGGGACAAUGAAGCGUUCUUUCGCUUCAGUCAUCGUGUAAUUUUGCUGAAGAGAAAGGGAGGCUUUUCAUUCCAAUUCUGAUAUCAGAGGAUUUCCAACACUUUUGUGACUAUCUAGAGAAUAAUUGUCUCUCACAGUGACUGCACGUGUAAGAGCUAAUCCCCACUGGCUCCUACGAGCAUCAAUGCUGUCUUCUUUGGUUUAAUCCCCAAGGCCCGACUAGACCCGGAACACCUAUUCGCACAGAAUCACGUACGGACUAUUGACUGUCGCAUAAGAAGAGGCUACAAAACACCGCCCUAUCUUUUCAUACUCGUGUGCCUCUGAUCCACAUUGUUUGGAAUGGAAAAAAAAUGAUAAAGCGGUGCAAGGCGGUCCUCAUGCCCGUCCGCGUGAUGAGAUGCAUCAACUUCCCCUUUCCCCUGGAGUUUUAAAUAAAAUGAAGGUGAAUGCAGAUAAAGUGUGGCAAGAGGGGGAAAAGGACUUCCGGAUUCGCGACAGCGGCUGUGAGACGAUACUACUCACGCGAUUCACGAGGGGAUCAGUCGAGACUUCCACUAGCGCUGGCUUGGGGUCGUCUGGCCCCCAAGAUGCGAGCCACACUCUAGUCCUCUUUGGAGUUGUCUCUGUCGGUAAGUACUAGUAGAUUUCGUGGUUGCCCACCGAAGGUACCUUUAAAGCUUCAACAAGGGGAAUUAUUGUACCGAGAAGUGAUGAAUGAUCUGCGGAGC